CGCCUGCGCGUUCCCGCCCUGGGUUACCCGCUCCCCUCCAUUUCCUUAUCUGCAGCGCCCCUCUCGAUCCUCUCCCCGAUUCCCUUUCCAUCCGCCGCCGUGACGGUGUGCUCCUCGCCGCCGCUGCGCCCGGCGAGGAUGCCCCUGCGCCGCGCCGUGCGGGACCUCUGCGUCAUCGCGGGGAUAUGACGGACGAUUUCCAUUGGCUUUGAGGUCUUCGACCCGCCGCGCCGUGCCCUCAGUCUCGUCGGGUUCCCGCCGCAGCGGGUGUGGGAGGCCUCGCUGCCGCAGCGGCCAGCGGACGCGGCUGAACGGAUGCGCAGGGGCGUGGCCGGCUUCCCCAGCCAGCCUUCCCGCCGGCUCCUCCCUCCACGGUUGCUUCCCUGUCGCGCGCCCUUUCCUCCCUCCCCUCCCGAUCCCUCACGUGCGGCCGCUGCCGUCGUCGCCGUCUUCGUCACGUUCGACCUGCCCCCACCACGGAUCCACACACGCAGUGCGCGAGUACCUCCUGCGCACCCUCGCUGUUUCCUGCGACGCGUCCUCCCCUGAGACGGACGAGCAGAUGGGAUCGACGACGACCGGAUGGUCGCAGUGUUGGCAUCGGCGAGCAGGGCAAGCAUGGCUCCACUGGUGACGGAAGGAAUGGUGGUGUAUCCUAAGCAAUGGUUCCCUUGGCGGGAUGCACAACCACGUCAGAGCAACAGCCAGCACGCCGGCGCGCUGUUCACCACCAGCUGCUGCAACCCAUUAGCCGUCCAUGUCUGUGCUGGUAACCUGUUCGAACCUGGCCACGGUGAGUGGCGCCUUGACUGGGGAUGCCACGGCGAGGGCAGCGGCGUCGACCUGGCGCGCCGGACGUGCUGCGGGCAUGCGGGUUCCUGCAUGGCGCGGUGUUGGAGCUGGUGAUGCGGUCAUGUGCAGGGACGUGGCGCCGCAGAGCUGGGCCACCACGCGCGCUACUGCUGCUCACUGGGACACCGGGAUCGGUCGCGACGCAGCACUCGGGGGCUUCAUGGGCAAGACGAUAACCGGGGCGGACCACAAGUUCGACUAGCUCUCCGACAUGGCCACUGCGCUGCUCAACACCAUCGCCGACGGGAGUUAGCCGGCUGGCAAGGCGCCCGCCCUGCCAUUGGAUGUAUUUAUUAGUAAAUACCUGUUGCAUAUAUUAGUAAAAUUAUCGUAGUUUCCCUGCUGCUUGUGGUCCAACGUUCUUCCAUAGGAUGUUAGUCGCUAACCAAUAUUCUUUUUAUUCUUCAGAGUGGUUUUGACUUAUCGAACCAAUGUAGGUCGAUUUGUUGAUUAAAUUUAUUAAGAUGCAUCCGUGAUUUUAAUCUGAGUUGUAAUCCUCUUGUUUUAAUCUGAGUAGUCUCAAAGGUUUUUAUUGAAAUGCAUCUAUGAUUUUGGAGAUAAAUAAAGAUCAUGAACAUACAUAAAAAAUCUAACGAAAUGUAUGGCUUUUAUUUUGCAUAUUGGAGGUGGUACCUAAUUGGUUAAGGCUAAUAUUGUUGGUUAGUGUAUGGCUACAAUGCAGUUAAUUGGUUCCAUAUUUUCAAAUGUAAGUCUUGUCUUUUACCUUUUCUUUUGCAAUGCUGAUUUGUGGUAAAGAGUACUGUUCCAUAUUUAAAUGUUUCUACACUUCCUUGUCCAGUAAAUAUGAAUUUCCAAUCGUGCACACGUUUCCUUCAUUUGCAAUUGACAGUCCCUGAAGAGAAUUGCCAAGUUUGUUAAUGCAAAUAUCCUCCCUGGUGCUACUUCCGAAGUUGGGCUUCUUUGUUGUGCCUGCGUUCAUUCAUAUUUGGUUUCCUAUUAUCCAAUAGAUCAGUACAAGUAUGUUUACGACUUUGUUCACCAGAUGGUUUCCUCAUCUGAUCUAUAAAUCGUUUACCCAAGAACCUUAUAUUAUCCUGUUUUUUUUAUUUUUUGUAGGCCAUUCACUUGUCAGCCUGGUAAUAUUAUUAAACCAUGGGGCUGUUCAAAAGCUCAUCAGGGUAGGGAGGUUGAAAUGCUUAAUUUCUGUCCAAAGUGGCAUGAUCCCAGUCAAGAUGAACUUUCUUGUGCAAACGAAUUACUACAAUUUCAUUUGCAGUCAGCUUUAGAUGAUCUUUUGACUAUUUGUCAGACAAAACUUCAUUCUAAGACAGGAGAUGAGAAGGAGCACCUAAAAGUAACUAACACAUCUUCUCUGCAGUGCAUGGUGUUGCCAGAAAUGCGCCCAUCAUAUAAAGAUGAGAGGUCGAAGGAAGUGGAGCCCAUAUACUUCAUAGCAGGAUCUGCUGGUAGCACUGUUGGCAGCUCAGAAAUGCGUGAAAAGUCUGCAGAAUUUGUGCACAUAGCUUGCAGGUUAUGGCUGACAAUAUAUAAUGGCUCAUGGUCGCUGUGGAGAAGAUCGGUGGGAAGGUACUCAAGGUCUGCGUCAGCAACCCGGACCUCUUCGCGCUUGACAGCUCCCGGCUCGACGUCGACAUUGGCUACCACAUCAAAUAUAUGACUAUGCACGUGGAUGCUUACGGAGGGAAUUCAUUUCACCCGUAUCAACGCACGGGUACAAGUUUAAGAAGCAUUAUAUACUUGAUAUAGAGUGAUUGCUACAGUAUCGAUAAACAAGGUUAAUUUCUUUAGUAGUCAUUUCUUGUAAUGAAAUUAUUUUAUAAAUACAUUUUUCUAUGACACGUGCCACACAUCUCCACUACCUGUAUAAUUAUCUGUCUAAUUAUCACACA